UUUAAACCAAACAAUACACAAUUUGGAAUAAAUUAAAAUAAACAUUUGAACUUAAGUAACAAUUUCACUUUAAACAAGAGAUCUGUGUCACGUGACCAAAAGUCUCUGGCUCAGAGUGUUGCCGUCUGCCAUUUUCUCAACCGUCUUUACUGGAGAGAAGUUAUGCAUUUCCAUCCUCUGUGAGAGCUGCUUUUCGAAAGGUUUCCUGUGGACUGUUUUACUGUUUGUUGAUCUGUUGCUAAAUCUGAUUUGUCAAAAAGAUGAAGCCGAAAAAGAGCUGGAGAGGUGUACCAUGGCAGUGUUUGUCAUCAGGGAAGACGAGGAUCCUCUCUAUCCACCAUGUGACAUUGGGAUUGUCAUUGAAGGUGUGGAAGUACUCAACGAGCUGCCGUCACUCGCACAUGGUUGUGCCAUGCUCUUUGGAC